AUUGAACGCUGGCGGCAUGCUUUACACAUGCAAGUCGAACGGCAGCGCGGGCUUCGGGCUGGCGGCGAGUGGGGAACGGGUGAGUAAUGCAUCGGAACGUGCCCCGCAGUGGGGGAUAGCACGGCGAAAGCCGGAUUAAUACCGCAUACGACCUGAGGGUGAAAGCGGGGGACCGAAAGGCCUCGCGCUAUUGGAGCGGCCGAUGUCGGAUUUGCUAGUUGGUGGGGUAAAGGCUUACCAAGGCGACGAUCCGUAGCUGGUCUGAGAGGACGACCGGCCACACUGGGACUGAGACACGGCCCAGACUCCUACGGGAGGCAGCAGUGGGGAAUUUUGGGCAAUGGGGGCAACCCUGACACAGCCAUGCCGCGUGCGAGAAGAAGGCCUUCGGGUUGUAAACCGCUUUUGUUCGGGAAGAAAUCCUCUGGGCUAAUACCCCGGGGGGAUGACGGUACCGGAAGAAUAAGCACCGGCUAACUACGUG
rnacentral:rRNA from 1 species